CCUAAUGUCACUUAAUUUUGCAAAACUGGAUGUUGCAACCUCAAACUUUGCGGGGGAGGGGGAAUACUCAGAAGCUGCCAGGGUGCAUUUCAGCAAGAGAUGCAGGCCGACCUCUAUCUACAACCCAACCCCCUCUAGCCAGGGCGGUGAAUAGCAUUUUCUGGACCGUUUGAUUCACUUUGUGGGAGAUGGGUUUGCAUGCAGACCUCUCAUGCCGGGACGCCAGAGGGAAUUGUUUCCGCCCUGCAAGCCAUGAAUGGAGGCCCUCCCCCUCUCUGCAGGGAGACCAGAGUUGAACGCAGUAUUCCAAAAGUGGAUUAACCAGUCCUAAUACCGCAGCAUGCUCUCGAACUCCUAACCUCAGCAUGGACCCAAACCCCCAGCCUCAGCGUGGUUUCAAAAUCCUGGCUUCAGUGGGGACUCGAACUCCCGGCCUCAGUGUGGACUCGACUCCCCGGCUCAGCAUGGACUCGAACCCCUGGCCUCAGCAUGGAGUCGAACCCCUGGCGUCACCGUGGACUCGAACCCCUGGCCUCAGCGUGGACUCGAACCCCCGGCGUCACCGUGGACUCGAACUCCCGGCCUCAGCGCGGACUCGAACCCCCGGCCUCAGCGUGGACUCGACCCCCUGGUUCAGUGUGGACUCAAACUCCCAGCCUUUAUUGCUUUAUUUUUCUAUUUUUUUCCCUUAAGAAUUUGAACUUAAGAAUUUGUAUCUAGGUGCCUUGGUAACUAAGAUGGGACUAUAAGUGAUAACUUGUAAACUUUUCAUUGUACUCAUGUGAGUAGAUGUGACAAUAAAGGUAAUUAUUGUAAA